UACGUAGGGGGCAAGCGUUGUCCGGAAUCAUUGGGCGUAAAGCGCACGUAGGCGGCCCGGUAAGUCCGUUGUGAAAACUAGAGGCUCAACCUCUAGACGUCGACGGAAACCGUGUGGCUAGAGUCCGGAAGAGGAGAGUGGAAUUCCUGGUGUAGCGGUGAAAUGCGCAGAUAUCAGGAAGAACACCGAUGGCGAAGGCAGCUCUCUGGGACGGUACUGACGCUGAGACGCGAAAGCGUGGGGAGCGAACAGG
rnacentral:rRNA from 1 species